rnacentral:rRNA from 1 species
CCUACGGGAGGCAGCAGUGGGGAAUAUUGCACAAUGGGGGAAACCCUGAUGCAGCGACGCCGCGUGAGUGAGGAAGUAUUUCGGUACGUAAAGCUCUAUCAGCAGGGAAGAAAAUGACGGUACCUGACUAAGAAGCCCCGGCUAACUACGUGCCAGCAGCCGCGGUAAUACGUAGGGGGCAAGCGUUAUCCGGAUUUACUGGGUGUAAAGGGAGCGUAGACGGCAGCGCAAGUCUGGAGUGAAAUCCCAUGGCUUAACCAUGGAACUGCUUUGGAAACUGUGCAGCUAGAGUGCAGGAGAGGUAAGCGGAAUUCCUAGUGUAGCGGUGAAAUGCGUAGAUAUUAGGAGGAACACCAGUGGCGAAGGCGGCUUACUGGACUGUAACUGACGUUGAGGCUCGAAAGCGUGGGGAGCAAACAGGAUUAGAUACCCUAGUAGUC